rnacentral:rRNA from 1 species
AGCGAACGCUGGCGGCAGGCCUAAUACAUGCAAGUCGAGCGCACCUUCGGGUGAGCGGCGGACGGGUGAGUAACGCGUGGGAACGUGCCCUUUGGUACGGGAUAACUGAGGGAAACUUCAGCUAAUACCGUAUGUGCCCUACGGGGGAAAGAUUUAUCGCCAUUGGAGCGGCCCGCGUUGGAUUAUGUAGUUGGUUAGGUAAAGGCUCACCAAUCCUACGAUCCAUAGCUGGUCUGAGAGGAUGAUCAGCCACACUGGGACUGAGACACGGCCCAGACUCAUACGGGCGACAGCAGUGGGGAAUCUUGCGCAAUGAGCAAGAGCCUGACGCACCCAUGCCGCGUGAAUGAUGAAGGUAUUAGGAUUGUAAAAUUCUUUCACCUGGCAAGAUAAUGACGGGACCCGGAGAAGAAGCCCCGGCUAACUUCGUGCCAGCCGCCGCCGUAACAC